rnacentral:rRNA from 1 species
GGAUUGAACGCUGGCGGCAUGCCUUACACAUGCAAGUCGAACGGCAGCGCGGGAGCAAUCCUGGCGGCGAGUGGCGAACGGGUGAGUAAUAUAUCGGAACGUGCCUAGUAGUGGGGGAUAGCCCGGCGAAAGCCGGAUUAAUACCGCAUACGACCUGAGGGUGAAAGCGGGGGAUCGCAAGACCUCGCGCUACUGGAGCGGCCGAUAUCAGAUUAGCUAGUUGGUGGGGUAAAGGCCUACCAAGGCAACGAUCUGUAGUUGGUCUGAGAGGACGACCAGCCACACUGGGACUGAGACACGGCCCAGACUCCGUACGGGAGGCAGCAGGUGGGGAAUUUUGGACAAGUGGCGACAAGCCUGACUCCAGCAAUGCCGCGUGCGAAGGAA